CGAUCACGGGCUAUCAGCUUGUUGGUGAGGUAAUGGCUCACCAAGGCGUCGACGGGUAGCCGGCCUGAGAGGGUGACCGGCCACACUGGGACUGAGACACGGCCCAGACUCCUACGGGAGGCAGCAGUGGGGAAUAUUGCACAAUGGGCGGAAGCCUGAUGCAGCAACGCCGCGUGAGGGAUGACGGCCUUCGGGUUGUAAACCUCUUUUAGCAGGGAAGAAGCGAGAGUGACGGUACCUGCAGAAAAAGCACCGGCUAACUACGUGCAAGCAGCCGCGGUAAUACGUAGGGUGCAAGCGUUAUCCGGAAUUAUUGGGCGUAAAGAGCUCGUAGGCGGUUUGUCGCGUCUGCUGUGAAAUCCCGAGGCUCAACCUCGGGCCUGCAGUGGGUACGGGCAGACUAGAGUGCGGUAGGGGAGAUUGGAAUUCCUGGUGUAGCGGUGGAAUGCGCAGAUAUCAGGAGGAACACCGAUGGCGAAGGCAGAUCUCUGGGCCGUAACUGACGCUGAGGAGCGAAAGGGUGGGGAGCAAACAGGCUUAGAUACCCUGGUAGUCCACCCCGUAAACGUUGGGAACUAGUUGUGGGGUCCUUUCCACGGAUUCCGUGACGCAGCUAACGCAUUAAGUUCCCCGCCUGGGGAGUACGGCCGCAAGGCUAAAACUCAAAGGAAUUGACGGGGACCCGCACAAGCGGCGGAGCAUGCGGAUUAAUUCGAUGCAACGCGAAGAACCUUACCAAGGCUUGACAUACACCAGAACACCGUAGAAAUACGGGACUCUUUGGACACUGGUGAACAGGUGGUGCAUGGUUGUCGUCAGCUCGUGUCGUGAGAUGUUGGGUUAAGUCCCGCAACGAGCGCAACCCUCGUUCUAUGUUGCCAGCACGUAAUGGUGGGAACUCAUGGGAUACUGCCGGGGUCAACUCGGAGGAAGGUGGGGAUGACGUCAAAUCAUCAUGCCCCUUAUGUCUUGGGCUUCACGCAUGCUACAAUGGCCGGUACAAAGGGCUGCAAUACCGUGAAGGGG
rnacentral:rRNA from 1 species